UACAGAGGUCUCAAGCGUUGUUCGGAUUCAUUGGGCGUAAAGGGUGCGUAGGCGGCGCGGUAAGUCGGGUGUGAAAUCUCGGAGCUUAACUCCGAAACUGCAUUCGAUACUGCCGUGCUUGAGGACUGGAGAGGAGACUGGAAUUUACGGUGUAGCGGUGAAAUGCGUAGAUAUCGUAAGGAAGACCAGUGGCGAAGGCGGCUCACUGGACCGGUAUUGACGCUGAUGUGCGAAAGCGUGGGGAGCAAACAGG
rnacentral:rRNA from 1 species